ACUUUAUUCUGGACGUUAUGUUUUCUAAGUCCUCGGCUGUUUCUUUAUUUCUCUCAUUACAGUGUGGUUUGGUGUAUGUGUGUGUKUUUUUUUUUUUUCAGAGGGAUUGUGAAAGUGACCAAGAGGAGGAAAUUCUAAAGAGGAGGCCGAGGACCAGAAAGAGAAGCAGCACUUCCUAAAAAAGGACUAAAUGCCUAAUAUCUCCUGCAUGUCACGUUGUGCCACUUUAUAAAUUUGCGUCUUCGCUCUGGCAGAAGAAGAUAGACGUAGAUUGCUGCCGACAGGAACUCCUGCGUGUUUUGUUCGCACACGCACAGGAAUGUGGACGGCUUCCUUCUACAACUGCAGUCUUAAAAAGCCCGUCAGCUGUAGUCUGACGUCCGGAUCUGAUUCAGACUUUUUUAUUUUUGUCGCCCAUGUGUUUGACAGACGUCUUGUCCAAAGUAUAGAGAGAAUGAAAAGGUUUCAGCUCAGCAGGAUGAGAGGAUUUUUGUAAUCAAAUGUUUACAUGUUGUUGUUUUUCUGCUUAGACACAACCCUGUCUGUGCAAAUAGUGUCAACUGUUAUUUUUUUCAUCUCAAGAAUAAAUAACUUGAGUCUGUAAACAAUGUGUUUACUAUAAGUAACUGUAAAUUACUAUUACACAAUAUUAUUAACCUUUUUUUCUGUACAUUAAGGUGGUAUAUAAAUCUUUUUGUAUGUGAAGCAGAGUUGAUUUUUGCGUUAAUGCUCACCAUACUGUGAUGUAUUUAUGGUGUAAAUAAAUAUACAGUUGGUCAAAUAAA